UGUUCUGUGGUUUAGUUUGCGAAAGCGCCGCUCUAGCGAAUACGGAAUCGUGCGUGGGUUCGAAUCCCACCAGAACGC
rnacentral:tRNA from 1 species